GCCAAUAGCGCCAGAACCCACUACUGGGUCCCUAAUAAUAAACUAGACAGCAUCUUUUGCUACACGAUCACUGGCCGAAUUAUUACGAGCGCAUCUACACAAACCCAGGUAUGAUACCAUUUUAGCUAACAACAAGCUAAAGUAUUAACCAACCAUGGUCUGCAUUUUUAAACGUGUGCUGUGAAAGGAUGGUCGGACGAGCUAUGGGCAAGGAGAAGCUUCACAUCAACAUCGUGGUGAUCGGCCAUGUGGACUCAGGCAAGUCGACCACCACAGGCCACCUCAUCUAUAAGUGUGGGGGCAUCGACAAGAGGACCAUUGAGAAGUUUGAGAAGGAGGCCGCUGAGAUGGGGAAGGGCUCGUUCAAGUACGCCUGGGUGCUGGACAAGCUGAAGGCAGAGAGGGAGCGAGGCAUCACCAUCGACAUCUCCCUGUGGAAGUUUGAGACCAGCAGGUACUACGUCACCAUCAUCGACGCCCCGGGACACAGGGACUUCAUCAAGAACAUGAUCACUGGCACCUCUCAGGCGGACUGUGCCGUGCUCAUCGUGGCGGCGGGCGUGGGCGAGUUCGAGGCGGGCAUCUCCAAGAAUGGGCAAACCCGCGAGCACGCCCUUCUGGCCUACACCCUAGGGGUCAAGCAGCUGAUCGUAGGGGUCAACAAGAUGGACUCCACCGAGCCCAACUACAGCCAGAAACGCUACGAGGAGAUUGUGAAGGAAGUCAGCACCUAUAUUAAGAAGAUUGGUUACAACCCGGAUACGGUGGCCUUCGUUCCCAUCUCCGGCUGGAAUGGGGACAAUAUGCUGGAGGCUAGCCCUAACAUGACAUGGUUCAAAGGGUGGAAGGUCACUCGUAAGGACGGCAACGCCUCUGGGACCACCCUGCUGGAGGCCCUGGAUGCCAUCCAGCCGCCCUCCCGCCCCACUGACAAACCCCUCCGCCUGCCCCUACAGGACGUCUACAAGAUAGGGGGUAUUGGUACGGUCCCUGUGGGGCGGGGAUAGGAGAGUGGAGACGGGCGUGAUAAAGCCAGGCAUGGUGGUGACUUUUGCCCCCGUCAAUGUGACCACGGAGGUCAAGUCAGUGGAGAUGCACCACGAGGCGCUGACCGAGGCCAUGCCCGGAGACAACGUGGGCUUUAACGUCAAGAACGUGUCGGUAAAAGACAUACGGCGAGGGAACGUGGCUGGAGACAGUAAGAACGACCCGCCGAUGGAGGUGGCCAGCUUCACUGCACAGGUCAUCAUCCUGAACCACCCAGGUCAGAUCAGUGCCGGCUACGCCCCCGUGCUGGACUGCCACACGGCCCACAUCGCCUGUAAGUUCGCUGAGCUGAAGGAGAAGAUUGACCGGCGCUCGGGCAAGAAGCUGGAGGACAACCCCAAGGCCCUGAAGUCUGGCGACGCAGCCAUCGUUGCCAUGGUCCCCGGGAAGCCCAUGUGUGUGGAGAGCUUCUCCGAGUACCCACCACUUGGGCGCUUUGCGGUGCGUGACAUGCGUCAGACGGUGGCGGUGGGCGUGAUCAAGGCGGUGGAGAAGAAGGCUCCGUCCACGGGCAAGGUCACCAAGUCGGCACAGAAGGCCCAGAAGGUCAAAUGAACGUUGUGUUGGGCUCGCGACGUUAGCGUCCGCCACCGUGAAAACAUCACCCCCCUGCUACACACCAUAGUCAAAGUCUGGUCCAUGCUCACGAUGCAUCGCAAGAGCAGACGGAGGAAAACAAUGUCAUGGUAUAUUUAUUAAGGAAGUUUUCUGUUUUAUAUAUAUAUAUGUUUUGGACUGCUUGUUUGACUGUUUGUGGUUAGGAUACACUAUCUGAGUAGAAGACCAUUUAAAUAACUCCUCUAGAUGUGUGCUAUUGUACUCAGUUAAACGUCAAAAAUGUUAUUGAUAGUGUUGGUUUGCAUUAAACUAGCUGCUAGUUAAUGUUAGUAAAAACGCACAAACAUUUUUAGGUCGAUAAAAUGUUGAAAUGGUGUUGUGUUUUCCUAUGGCUGCUUGCAUGUUCCCAAUGCACUUUAAGAAAUAUAUCCGAUACUAACACAUUAUAGCACUUUGCUUGGCUUAAAAGCUCCCUUGCACUGUUCAAACCUUGUCGACACUGUUCCCUCGAAACCUUAUUGUAUGCAACCUGUGAGCUUGAUCUAUAUCAAAAGACAUUAAAAAAAGGUUUCAAACUUA